GGCACUUUACCUUCCUGAUUUGGUGCCAGCUAUUUUUACAAAAUCCAGUGUUGCCUUUCAUUGACACAAUGCAUUGGUCCGCUAUAGAUCAUAGGUCUAAUUUUAUUUGACCUUUAAUCUAAUAAAAGUCACCGUCCAAAGAAAUCUGCCUCAGGCGCCUACUGAUCUAGUACCCCUGAGGAAGUCCUACGGGACGAAAUGCGUUGGAUUCUUCGUUUGAUCAAUCUAAUUGGUGCAUACUGAAUUUCUGAUAAUAAGAAAAUGUACUCAGACUGAGUGUCUGUU